rnacentral:lncRNA from 1 species
GCUCCCGUAGUUAUUUUGCUUCGAGGCGUCUCUUCCUUUGAGGCAGCUCUGGGACUCCACCGCUACCUUGAAGCGAGUGGUUGGGAUCGCCUUGAUCCUCUUCGUUGGCCUCUCUCGUAGUUAUUUUGGUUCGAGGCGGCUCGCCUUGAUCCUCUUCGUUGGCCUCUCUCGUAGUUCUUUUGGUUCGAGGCGGCUCUAAGACUCUACCGCUCUUCGAGGCGGCUCUGAGACUCC